ensembl:lncRNA
CUCUGCACUUCUAUAUUCUUACCACCCUGCUCCUUUACCCUUUAAUCUGUAAUCCCAUGUUACCCCCCCCUUUUUUCCAUACCUAAUUUACUUACUCUGUCAUUCUCAACUUCUCCUCCCUUCUCUCUCCUCCUCCCCGCCUCCUCUCAGAGCUGCAGUUCCUAGUUGAGCACCAUCUGUACCGGCAGCAGCAGGGAGCCGGUGACGAGUGCUCCUCAGAGAGCUGCCUGUCUGACCGGCCAAGCCCAGACUCUGUACCCCCCGGAGAGGAGCUCCCACACGACGAUGAGGCCACUGCAGAGGCCUUUGAGAAACUGCGCUGCCAAAUGGAAGAGUUCUCUAGGGAGAGUCUAUUAGAGGCUGCAGGUGGACUCGAGUGCCCCCAGUCCAAGGAGAAGAAGGAGGAUUGUUCCAGUGUUGCAAAUGUAGCAGAUCCCUCAUCGCAACAGAACAACACACAAGCAGACACAAAAGCUGGAGCGUCCAGCGCAAGUCAGCCGGCGGAGGAGAAGAAGACAAAGAAAAGCAGCCUGAAGAAAGAGAACUAGAGCAGUCAGCCGUUCUGCACAAUGCUGCUCAGUCUGCUCAGUCAGCCCAACACAAUGACAGAAGAUUGUGUCUGCAGAUUCACUUUUUAGAAACAUCAGGGCAUCUAUAUUCCUCUACAGUCAGGCCUUAGUUACCACCUCGAGAACAAGAACAAAGGUUUCUACAUUUAUUUUGUGUUGUGUAAAGGGACACAUUUCAUUAUAUUGGUUUUCUUAAAGCCUCCCUUGAACUAAAACUAGCCUACUGUAUGUAUGAACCUGGGAGUUAAUAUCUAAUCUUAACGGAGUCUUUUUUUUCAUGAUCAUAAACCACCACAGGCUUAACGUCCCCUUCAGUGUGCACAUGCAAAUAUACCACUUUACAAUCCUUUCAGUCCAUGAACAUGUGCCAUGACUUCAGCAAUUAUUGUUCCAUCUCAAAGCAAUAAAACUGCAUCUGUACCUCAGAAACAAGCGGAGCUGAAAGCAUCGAGUUACGUUCAAGUGUCACUGUAAGUCCCAGUUAAAAGCUGCAGUACAUUUGAAUUAGCACCUGGCUUUACAUUAAAACAUAUGCAGCGUAUUGUUUAUAUUUUAGAUUGAACAUCUACAAAUGCAGAGUAAUCCCAGUCCAACAGCAAUUUAAUGUUAAUCAAUAAUUACUCUGAUUUAAAGUCAUUCUUACAAAUGAAGAAAACGUUUUUUACAGUUCCAGAUUUUGAACUGUGUUUACACUGAAGGUAUGUAUGACAUUUUUUAUUAUUAACCUUCACAUCCUGUGUCUGUGAGGCUCAGAUGGAGCGCUAACCUGCUCCUCAUACACUUUGGUUAAGAAAUAUAAAAUGUUAUUUGUCCCUUUUGGAAAGACAUUUUAACCUGAUUUCUAAAAAAUUAAAUAUAAAACCGCAACAAUAUCUAUAACUUUGAAAGCAACAUUGUUGCCUGUUUUGAGAACAAAAUUGGCAAACUUUUCUUGAAUAAUGAGGUACCUUAACUAAACAUUUUCAUUGUUUAUUGUUUUGAUCUCUUCAACAUUAAGAACUUGUUUCCUCACAGUAUCUGUUCUGAAUAUAGCACCACCACAAUGACAUGCUGUUAUUUUGUCCCAGCGGCCUCUAAAACAGACAUGUUUAAAACGCCUGCUGUGUCCAGGUGGCCGUCUCUGGAGCUAUUAGUGAAUAAACGGAAGAAUUCAUCACAAUUCCUAAUUCCUAGAUGGUUACAAAAAUAAAAUGUCUCCAUUGACUCUGAGCAAAUCAGUGGGUUGAAACUAGAUUUGCAGGUUAUUCAUAUUAGCAGAUAAUGUGGCCAAAAAACCCAGAGAAAUUAUUACAGAGUAGCAAAUAUGUAAAUUAAAUCUCAUUUAAACCCAGCAUCAGCUUGUUGAACUUAGUACCUAACAGGGAGCAAAAAAAAAAUGGAGGUGAGUUAAAGUAAAGCAGAUGGAAAGGUAGCUGAAAAGGUCUUUGGAACAUGUAUAUGCUGCUCUGUUUACUUUUCAUGGCUGGCUGCCUGUAACAGUUUAUUUCUCUUGUUGUCCUGUCAGCGCUCAGGCUGCUGUCAAUGAAAUACUGACAUGUAUCCAGCGGAGAAGGAACAUGUCUGCAAUGUUUUUAAUACUAAAAAAAAAGGAAGAAAGAAAGACAGAAAGGCACCGCCAUUGAUCCUGGCUGCAAAAGGAAGUUGAAUAAAUUUUAGUCACACAUUUUAUUAUAAUUUAAAUGUUUUACUCUUUAAACCAGGUGGUGAGUUAUUAAAUGCUCACUAAAUGAUAUAUAUUUUUUGUUUUUUAAAAAAAAUGUCUGUUUACAGUAAUGCACUGAAAACCAGACUUUUACCAGUCAUGCUGUGUGAUAAUUAAAUGUCUGGUUGAGGAGCAGAUUCAUUUCCAUAUUUUGGAUUAACAAGGAAAAAAAAAUCCUUCUCCAGUGACCAAACUGCACCCUCAUUUUUGACACAUGAAUGCUUCUUGGGAAUCUAAAUUCUGAUCAUAAAUCACCAUGUUGCAUGGCACUGAAUGUACAGUGACUGAGGUGCUUUGUUUUGUACAGAACAGCAAAUAAAACAGUUUAAAUAUCAGACACUAAUCGCUGCAUUUUGAUUCUAGUUUUAUAUGUAAAGGACAGCCACUCUCUUCAUUUCAUCAUCAUCACCGCAGUGUCAUGUAGAUAAUGUGACAAUCCUUUCAUAACCUUCACAUCAUGUCUGAAAGAACAAAAGCAGAGACUAUAAAGCCACACUAUAGUGUUGAUGUCACCUGAAUCAGCCGCAGUUACUUCCCAACUUUAUUCACAACGAACAAUUAAGAUGGUGAAACAUUCCUGUGAACGCUUUCUGUUCCUUUCUGCAGUGUCUCUAUGGACCAUGUAAUGUCUGUUCUGUUUUUGAAUGCUAAUAAUGGUGUACUUUAGUUAAAUCUGGG